AACCGACCACUACCCUAAGGUCCUGGUGACUCUUAGUCCUGUCCCUGCCUGGCUGCAGCAGAGCUGUUUGCUGCCCUGGUCCCCUCCUGUUGUAUGAACACAGAGAUCAGCUGAGAGGCAGGACUGAGAACCAGCAUGGCUGACAGACUGACACAGUUUCUUCUCCUACAAGCUAGCAGAGUAAAGCCUAAUCACCAGUCAGAUCUCAGUACAACCAUGAGGACCCCCUCCAUCAUCAACUCUGCAGACCCCACAGCUGGCCUGGAGAACAUAAGGGGCCAAAGGAAUCCUUCACUGCUGAACCUGGGGGGCAUCAUUGGGAUGGUCAUGGCCAAAGUUGUAGUCAUCAUCCCCCUCUACGGAUGGAUGAUCUUUCUGUAGUGGAAGCAAAGACAGGCUCUGCCUUCGAUUACCGUAAGUAGAAGUGAGAGGUGGAAAAGCAGCAGCCAGGGAAGCAGCAGAAGACAAACAAGAAUUCAAACCAUGAGACUGAAUCUGCAGGGUGCAGGAGCCAACACUGAAAGGAAGAACUAGAGAGCCAGAUUCCAGAAAGGCAAAAGUGAAAUAUGGUGUGAACAGAGCGAAGAAAGCAGAGAUGUGUCAAGAGGUCAGAGAAGAGGGAAGAAAAGAAAAGAGGAAGAAAUAGAAGUGGGUUGGUACACUAGUUCAUUGCUCUGAUUUGCAGUGUUGUGAAGGUCUGCUGGCUGCUGGCCUCAGGUCCUGGUGAUUCUCAGACCUGUCUCUGCCUGGCUGCUGCAGAGCUGUUUGCUGCCCAGGUCCCCUAAUGUUAUCUGAACUCAGAGAACAGCUGAAACGCAGGAGUGAGAACCAGCAUGGUUGACACACUGAC